UCUACACAGUAAUGUAAGUGAAAGUAAUUAACAAACAAAACUAGCUUUUUUAUACCAAAGUAACACUUCAUGAAUUGUAUAAAGUAUUUUUCAUUCUUCUUUCUGUCUUUUGAAAAUGGUUUAGUUUAUUUUUCUCUCUGUUUAAACCAAAUUUGUAGUUAAUACAACAAAAUAAUCAUGCAUGCAUGUAUAGUGUGACGAUAGCAUUCCAAUUCUACUACUGCGGAUUCAGGUAGACCGUUUAAUGCGAAUAGUUGUCGCGUUAGUUUUAACAGUUGUACGAUCACUACGAUGACGUUUCUAGGCAGAUUUUCGACGUUUCUAAGGCGUGGCUUCAACGUUUAUUU